GCCCUAUUUAAUCUGCACCAGGAGCAGCAGAAGCCCCAAGCUCUGCCCAACUGGGCGAAGGGAUCCUGCUGCCUUCAGUGAAAAGACACUGAAAUCAUGGAUCUGUGGCACACAGCAAUCCUGGGCUAGAUCUUCAAUGCAUCAGAGCUUGGUUUGCAAUAGAGAGCUGGCUGAGUCUAGUCUGGGUGACUUCUGAAGUGUGAGGGGACAGGGGAGACCCAAAUCAUCACACUCUGGUGUCAAAGUGGCAAAAGGCACAAGCUGGGACCCAACUGAAUACGAAGAGAAACUCCUUUGGUGCAAGGGCUUUGAGGGCCUGGAGCUGGCUGCCUGGAGAGAUUGUGCAGUCUCCUUCUCUGGAGGGGUUCCAGACACCCCUAGCCACCGUGAUCCUGGGAAAGCUGCUGCGAGUGCCUCUGAGCAGGGACAUUGGACUGGAUGGGCUCCAGAGGUGCCUUCCUUCUCCACCAUUCUCUAAUUCUGUGGCAUGUUGGAUAUCAUCCCAGAGAAUUCAUGCCCAAGCCACUACUCUGCAGAGUGUAAACCUCUGUGUGAUAUUGUGGCUAUGCUUCUCCCUCUCCUUGACUGCAGGGAUAGCUUGCAAGGAACUGAGCACUCCUGGCUUAAUUCCCAUACUGUAUAAACAUCUGCAGUUGGAACUCUGAGUUUUGGGCAGUCUGUGAAGUUAUAACGCUAAUAAAAUAAUUGU